GCUGGCGUGGUGGAAGUGGUAAUACACGUGGGACUUAAAAUCCCAUGCCCUAGAGGAUUGAGAGUUCGAGUCUCUCCGCCAGUACCA
rnacentral:tRNA from 3 species